GGCGCCGUACCCAAGUGGUAAGGGAGAGGACUGCAAAUCCUUCAUUCGCCGGUUCGAAUCCGGCCGGCGCCU
rnacentral:tRNA from 4 species